UGAAGCCUCACGCCUUCUGUCAAAUCAGAUGUAAUGGCCCCAGGGGCAGUAACUAGCUUAGGGUUGGACCGAACUUCCACCUGUGCACCCCUCUAAGGAAGCUUUUGUUAGUUUCCAGACUCUUCUUAGGCUCCUGAGGGGUUUUCUGUCUUGGCAGGAGCCCUCAUCAGUAGCUUCCUUUAACGAUGCGCAUACGUUUGCCUCCUGCUGAAGGGAUGAGAAGACUAAGGUACAGAGCUGAAGUGACCUGCCAAAGGCCACAAAUCUUCUUGAACCCAUGAAGUGGAGCAAAACAAGCUUGAAAGGAGAGAAAUCUAUUCUCUCCCAGAUCCGAAGGAUAGAAGUCUGAAAAUGAGAUGUCUGCAGAGCCCGGCCACCUCCGAAGCCUCUAGGGGAGAAUCCUCCUCGCCUCUUCCAGCUUCAGUCCGUUAGCGGCAUCUCUAGGCUUACGACUGCCGAACUCCAGUCUCUGCCUCUGUCUCUAGGUGGCCUUCCCCUCUUCUCCCUGUGUGUCUCCCUGUGUGUGUGUCUUUAUAAAGACAGUGGUCCUUGCAUUUAGUGCUUACUCAUAAUCCAACAUGAUCUCAUCUGCAGAGCUCCAUUUUCCAAAUAAAGUCACAUCCACAGUCUCCAGGGCUUAGGAUGUGACCAAAUCUUUUUUUUUUUGCGGGGGGGAGGGUGGUGCCUACCAUUCAACCCAGGACAGUAACAUAUAGGGAACUGAUCAAAUAAACAAAUAUUUUAAAGAUCAUGCAAGCCUGGCUUUUCCUACAGGAGAACAGUA